rnacentral:rRNA from 1 species
GACGAACGCUGGCGGCGUGCUUAACACAUGCAAGUCGAACGGAAAGGCCCUGCCUUUGUGGGGUGCUCGAGUGGCGAACGGGUGAGUAACACGUGAGUAACCUGCCCUUGACUUUGGGAUAACUUCAGGAAACUGGGGCUAAUACCGGAUAGGAGCUCCUGCUGCAUGGUGGGGGUUGGAAAGUUUCGGCGGUUGGGGAUGGACUCGCGGCUUAUCAGCUUGUUGGUGGGGUAGUGGCUUACCAAGGCUUUGACGGGUAGCCGGCCUGAGAGGGUGACCGGCCACAUUGGGGCUGAGAUACGGCCCAGACUCCUACGGGAGGCAGCAGCGGGGAAUAUUGCACAAUGGGCGGAAGCCUGAUGCAGCAACGCCGCGUGCGGGAUGACGGCCUUCGGGUUGUAAACCGCUUUCGCCUGUGACGAAGCGUGAGUGACGGUAAUGGGUAAAGAAGCACCGGCUAACUACGUG